AUGCAUGUAUUAAGCAACUGGUAACCAUCAAUGGACAGGUUUGACUAUCCAUGAGGUAGGAGGGAUCGUUAACCCCACUUUGCAGAUGAAGAAACAGAAGCAGGGAGUACUCCCUCACAACUGGAAUAUAAACAUCUCCGAAGGCAGGGGCUUCAAGUGUCUUUUCCUGCACGCUGUUUACUUUAUCUAGAGCAGUGCCUGAUACAGUUGGAGCCGAACACUGAUAGACUGAUGGGUGAGUAAGGGGGAGGAUGGAAGAGAGCGAGACACGCCCUCCAUAAUCCGAAUGUG